CCCCUCAGUCUCUUCCCAACUGAGAGGUGUGGAGCCUGGGCAUGAGGCUGGAGGUUAGGCCUCUGUCUGGUGGAGGUUAGGCCUGGUGGAGGUUGGUGAGGUGUAGAGCCUGGAGGUUAGGCCUCUGUCUGGUGGAGGUUAGGCCUCUGUCUGGUGGAGGUUAGGCCUCUGUCUGGUGGAGGUUAGGCCUCUGUCUGGUGGAGGUUAGGCCUCUGUCUGGUGGAGGUUAGGCCUCUGUCUGGUGGAGGUUAGGCCUGGUGGAGGUUAGGCCUCUGUCUGGUGGAGGUUAGGCCUGGUGGAGGUUAGGCCUGGUGGAGGUUGGGCCUCUGUCUGGUGGAGGUUGGUGAGGUGUAGAGCCUGGGCAUGAGGCUGGAGGUUAGGCCUCUGUCUGGUGGAGGUUAGGCCUCUGUCUGGUGGAGGUUGGUGAGGUGUAGAGCCUGGGCAUGAGGCUGGAGGUUAGGCCUCUGUCUGGUGGAGGUUAGGCCUCUGUCUGGUGGAGGUUAGGCCUCUGUCUGGUGGAGGUUAGGCCUCUGUCUGGUGGAGGUUAGGCCUCUGUCUGGUGGAGGUUGGGCCUCUGUCUGGUGGAGGUUGGUGAGGUGUAGAGCCUGGGCAUGAGGCUGGAGGUUAGGCCUCUGUCUGGUGG